rnacentral:ncRNA from 18 species
CAAUAUCGGAUAGCGCCAGACCUGAACGUUCAGGUGACGAGGAGAGAGCUUAUCGAAGAUUCGGCGGGUGGCUCUAGGGACUGCACUCUACAGAUAACAAAGAAAAACUAAUUGUGAAGUUAGAACAAAGCGGUUAUCACGCAGGUAG